rnacentral:rRNA from 1 species
UGGAUAAGGCAUGCAAGUCGAGUGGGUUUAGACCCACGGCAGACGAGGUAGUAACACGUAGGAACGUACCCGGAAGUCGGGCAUAACCAGUCGAAAGAUUGGACAAUUCCCGAUGGUCUCGCAAGAGUAAAGAUUUUUCGCUUCCGGAGCGGCCUGCGUAGUAUCAGCUAGUUGGUAAGGUAAAGGCUUACCAAGGCUAUGACACUUAGGGGAGCUGAGAGGCUGACCCCCACCGAUGGAACUGAGAUACGGUCCAUACUCCUACGGGAGGCCGCAGUCGAGAAUAUUUGGCAAUGGGCGAAAGCCUGACCAUGCGACGCCGCGUGAUGGAUGAAGUGCUUCGGUACGUAAACAUC